UGGAGUUCAUCAAGAUGGUGAUGGGUUUAAUGAAUGGCGUAUGAGGAGCCAUGCAUGCUUGUGUAUAUUUUCUAUAUCUUGUACUAGAUCUUGUUCUUGUUCUUGUUCCUAAGUUUCAUAUUCUUAGUAUUAUGUUUUGUUUUUGUUUCUUCUAUUGUUUGUUGAAUUUUCUCUUACCUUGGUGGAGAGUUGUUGUGGAUAUAAUUAAUGGAGUUAGUGUGUCCCUUGAGCUUCCUAGUCAAAGAUGAGUUUGACUUGGUUUGAUUAGAUAGUGGAAAGGUAGGGUUUAUAGGUUAUAUAGGUAGUAACAAAUAAUUUCAGGUAUUAAGUAAUUAUUACAUAAUUGUAGUUUUUUUUAAUGUUGUUUUCAUGUUGUUUUUGAAAUAAAGUAAGAUGAUAUUUUUUGUGAAAAAUGAUAAAAAUAUGUUAGUAAAAUACAAAUUUAUUUAUCUACAAUAAGAAUGAUAUGACAUUGUUUGUUUGUUUGUUUUGGAGAUGAAUAUGACAAUUUUUAAAAAUCAAAUUUAUUACUUAUUUUUCUGACUCAUUCAGUCCAUGUUGUAUAAGGAUCAUUAUUACUCUCAAGUGGACGUAGUCACCAAUCGUUUUCGUUGUUCUGUUGUCAAUUUUGUUGUAAUUGAGUAGUUAACAUCUUGUGUGUCACUCAUAUAUGUUUCUGUGUAUAUAUUUCAAUAAGAUAUAUAUAUAUAUAUAUAUAUAUAUAUAUAUAUAUAUAUAUAUAUAUAUAUUAUAUUAUAUAUAUAUAUAUAUUCAUAUAUAUAUAUAUAUAUUGUGUGGUUGAUAUGGUUAGGAUGGUUGGGGUAGAUGGGGGAGGGUGAGUUUGGAUAACAAAUAUUUUUUUAUAUUAUGGUAACAGAUAGUUUUGGAAUGCACUAAGAAAGAUUAUCAAAUGUUUACUAGCAAUGGAGGUUUUGCUCCGGCUUCAGAGAUCGUCUAGAAUAAUAUAAUUCUUUUGAAGGUGUUCUUUUUUUCUUGGAAAUUGUUGUAUAGUAAAAUUCAGAAAAUUUAUAAAUUUGAAGUCUUAGCUGUGUGGAUUGUUUUGUGAGAGUUGUGUGAUAGGUUGGUGUUAUUUGGUUAGGGCAGGUUGCAUCUAUUUAAAAGGUUUGCAAUCAUAUGAUAUUGAUGAUGCAAGAGCUCUUAUAGUAGAUAAUGAAAAAGUUAAUAUGAUAUUUUUGUGUUUAACAGUUUAGAAAUUUUGAACAUUUACAAAUUUGAAGUCUUAGUUGUGUAAAUAGUUUUAUGUGUAAUUUUUUUAAAUAACCAAUAUUUUUAAUUUAAAUACUCAAAUAACC
rnacentral:lncRNA from 1 species